UCUCGUCGUACAGUGAUUGAGUAAAGAAGUUUUUUUUAGAAUAAUAUAUUUUAGAAAAUAAAAAGAAAUACAUAUAUACAUACAUAUUGAAAAUAUAUAAAAAAAAAAACAAGAAAAAGAAAAAAAAUAAUUAAAAAAAGAAAGUGCGCGAUUGCAGAUAAAUUUUUUUUAUAAAAGAUUUUUUUUUUUUUUGUAAAUUAAAGUCAUAAAACCUUGACUAUAUCUCACACGUUCUAUUAAGGUCUUAAUAUUUUCGUUAUAUCUUUAUCUCGCAAAAUAACUUUAAAAAAAAAAAAUAAAAAUUGCUUUUAUUAUAAAAUUUUUUUUUUUAUUAUUAUUAUUAAGACAGCGGCUCUCAUCUUGCGAAAUAAUUUUUUUUGUAAAAUAAAAAUUUUAUUCUAAUUGAAAGAAAAAAACACAGAGAAAAAAAAUAAAUAAAAAUAAAAGGAAAAAUUUUUGAAAAUACAAGAAAAAAAUCGUGAAUUGUAAAAAAAAGUAUACACACAUAAAAAAAAAAAUUUUAUCAAAUUCAAUAAAUUUUUUCAUUGGAUAAAAUAACUAAUAUAAAUAAAAAAAUAUAAAAACAAAAUAUUGAAAAAUCACAGAGAGAAAAAAAAAGGGCGAAAUAACAAUUAAAGUGAAGUUUUUUAUUUUUUAACUAAAAUCCGAAAGAUAAGAAAAGAAAACACAAAAGUAAGAAUAAAAGUAAAGAAUUUUUUUUUUUCUUUUUGGAAUUUAAAUUGCAUUAUUUGCAUUUAAAAUAAAAUUUUUUGAGAAUUAAAAGCUUGUAUUGUAUACAUACAUACAUAUAUAUACAUACAUUUCAGAUUUAUAUAUUUAUAUAUAUAUACAAAAGAAAAAAAUAAAAUAAAAGUAGUCGAGGGGGUCUCUUGGAUCAAAUAAAUUACAUACAUACAUACAUACAUAUGUAUAUAUUUUAUAUUGUUUAUAUUGUCGAAAAACAAGAAUAACAAUAAUAUUACAAAAAAAAAAUAAAAAUUCUGAAUGAGAAAAUAAAAAAAAUGUUUAUAUAUUAAAAUAUUAAUAAAAAAAAAAACACAAGAAAAUUAAUAAUAAAAAAUAAAAACAUUUGAAAAUUUAAAUCGUAUUUAUUUUUACGGUAAAACUAUAAUUAUUAAUAUAAAAUUAUUAAAAAAGACAAGGAUUUACUAAAAAAUAAGAAAAAAUAAAAAAAAAAAAUAAAAUUUUUUUUUUUCGUAUAAAUCGUUUUUAGAAUUUUAAAUAUUAUAAAAGCCAAAAAGAAUACUACAAUUUAAAGCUAUUGCUAAAUUUUAAGUAAGAAGAAAUUAUAGAAAAAAAAAAUACCGACGACAAUUAUUAUAAAGGAACUCUAAAAUUAUAUACAUGAAUAUUUAAAUAAGUAAUUAAUAAGAAAAAAAAGCAAAAAGAAAAAAAAAACAACAACAUCAAGAAAAACUUCAAUAUUAUAUUUAUAUCUUAUAUACACAAACAAAAAAAAAAAAUAAAAUUUCUUUAUUGCGAAAAGUUGAGAUUUUUUUCUCAUUUCUUUUUUGGGAUUUUCGUUUUUCAUUUCGUGUGAUUUUUUCAUUUUCAAAUUAAAAAACAAAACAAAAAAAAACUUGAAAAAUAAAUACAAAAAACAAACAAAAAAAAUAUAAAAUUAAAAUAAAAUACAUUGAAAAUUAAAAUAAGAAAGAAACAAAAAAGAGCCAUAGAAAAUGGAGGAAAACAAAAGCAGUUCUUCAGCAAAAGAUGAUUCAUCUGUAACAUUAACAAUAAGGCUGAUAAUGCAGGGAAAGGAAGUUGGAAGUAUUAUCGGUAAAAAAGGUGAAAUCGUCAACAGAUUUCGAGAAGAGUCGGGAGCAAAAAUCAAUAUUUCUGAUGGAUCAUGUCCAGAACGUAUUGUUACAGUAACCGGUACUACAGGUGCUAUAUAUUCAGCUUUUUCGUUGAUAACAAAAAAAUUUGAAGAAUGGUGUUCACAGUUUAAUGAUUCUGGUGCAUCUGGUGGUAAAACUCAAAUACCAAUACGUUUAAUUGUACCAGCUAGUCAGUGCGGCUCAUUGAUUGGUAAAGGUGGUUCAAAAAUUAAAGAAAUUCGCAGCACGACUGGAUGUUCAAUUCAAGUAGCUAGUGAAAUGCUGCCAAAUUCAACAGAACGUGCUGUUACAUUAAAUGGAACAGCAGAACAAAUAACUCAAUGCAUAUAUCAAAUAUGUUUAGUUAUGUUGGAAUCACCACCAAAGGGAGCUACCAUACCAUAUCGACCAAAACCACAAGUAAAUGGACCAGUAAUACUUGCCAAUGGUCAAGCAUAUACAAUUCAAGGAAAUUUUGGUGUACCGGGACCAGAGACGUGCUCAGUAUUUCCACUUGCAUUGGCCGGUGGUCUUCAUGCAGGCAUGUCAUGUUUAGGAGAUCCAUUAUUAAGGGGGGUACAUCUGUCGGGAGCAUUACCUCAGCAUCAUCUUCAACAUGUAACUGAUGUCUCAAAAAAUCCUUUGGCCAGUUUAGCAGCUUUGGGAUUAGCCCAAAUGGCACCAGCAAAUACAGGUGGUUUAAAUCCAGCUGGUCAAUUUAAUUUUUUAGCUCUUGCCGCAUUAGCUGGAUCUCAGUUACGUACAAAUAAUACAAAUCGUAAUCAACAACAACAUGAAAUGACAGUGCCAAAUGACUUAAUAGGUUGUAUCAUUGGUAAAGGUGGUACUAAAAUAGCUGAAAUACGCCAAAUAUCUGGUGCUAUGAUACGUAUAUCAAAUUGUGAAGAACGUGAUGGUGGUAAUACCGAUCGUACAAUUACCAUUAGCGGUAAUCCAGAUUCUGUUGCAUUGGCGCAAUAUUUAAUUAAUAUGAGGUGGUACACCUUAUAUAUAACUACUUCGUCAAUAAAUAUGGUUCAUCUGAUCCUGGACUUUUUGAUUGAAUAUUAUAAUAAAAAAAAAGAAUGAAAUAUCACAAAAAAAAAUACAAUGACAAAGUUAAUAUAAAAAUUUAUAGGCAAAAGAAAAAUCUCUUAAUUUGAGCUUUAAACAUAAAGAAAUAAUUUUUUUUUUUCAAAAUUUGAAAAAGAAAAUAUUGAAAACAAUUCACAAUAUUAUAGAACGUAUUCACAAUAAAAUAAAAGGAAUCGAAAUUCCGAGGGAGAAUAUAAAAUUCAAGAUUCAGAUCAACUUGUGUAUUAAAUGGGAGGAAUUGAUGUGAAAAAAAAUUAAGUUUUUGAUAUGAGAAAAAGAAAAAAUUAAAAAAAUAAUAAAAAAUAAAAAACUAAAAUUGAUUUCUGAAUAAAUGGAGGAAGGAUUUCAAUGGAAACGGCAGGACUUCCAAUACCCGGAUACCAUUACAUUGCUCCAAAUCAUAUAGUUAAAACAUCAAUUCAUUAAAAGACAAGAGAAAUAUUAUAAUUAUGUUUUCAUAUAAAAAGUAUAAAAGAAGAAAAAUCAGCAAUUAGAAAAUUUUGCGAAUAACAUCAUCAAAAUAAAUUGCAUCGCAUCGUGAAAUAUAUAUAAAUAUAUAUAUACAUGUAUAACAUAUAUUAUUAAAUAUAUUAUAUAUAUAUAUGUAUUUUUAGCAUAUUUAUAAUUAUAUAUAUAUGUAAUGUUCAUAUAAAUAUAUAUAUAUAUAUUUAAUAAUUAAUUAAAAAAAAAAUAAUAUGUUAAUAAAAUAGAAGAAAUAUGGAAAACAAAUUAAAUAAGAGAAAGGAUUUUUUUUGAAACGUACAUAAUAUAUAUUAUGAAAGAAGACAUAAUAGAAAAAAGAAAAUAUACAACACAAUGGAAAUAUUAUAUUAUUAUUAUAUAAUAUAAUUUCAAAUUUUUAAAAAUAUUAUUAUUUUGAACUGUACGUAUAUGCUACAAAUAUUCAACAUCAAUAUUAUUAUUACGAGUAUAAUAGCAUAUCAGCGGGAGUAACAGCCAUAAUAAUAAGAAUAAACAACAAUAACAUCAACUUUAAUAAUAUUAUGUAACAACAAACAACAUAAAAAUACAAUUCAAAUUAACAAAGUAACAACAACCAAAAAAAAACAAUUAAAUUAUGGAAAAAAACAACAAUAAUGAUAAAUUAAAAUUUUUUAAUAAAUUAAAAAACAUCAAACAACUAUGAGACAUCAUCAAAGCAAUUUAAUUAAAGCAAAAAAUAUAUCUUUAUAUAUAUAUAUAUUAAUACUUUAUGUAUUACUUAUAUAAUAAUUUAAAAUAAGCAAAAAUAUAAAAUUAUAUAUUUAAUUUAUUAAUUUGUAAACAAAGUAAUAUUAAAAAAAGAAAACA